rnacentral:rRNA from 1 species
UACGGGGUGCACCAGGGGCAAAACUUCCGCAAUGCGGGAACCCGUGACGGAGUCACCCCGAGUGCCACCCGAAGAGGGUGGCUUUUGCCCGGUCUAAAAAGCCGGGCGAAUAAGCGGGGGGCAAGCUUGGUGUCAGCCGCC